GGGGAUGUAGCUCAGUGAUAGAACACUUGCCUAGUAUGCACGAGGCCCUGGGUUCAAUCCCCAGCACCA
rnacentral:tRNA from 1 species